rnacentral:rRNA from 1 species
UGGGGGAUAUUGCACAAUGGGCGAAAGCCUGAUGCAGCGACGCCGCGUGGGGGAUGAAGGCCUUCGGGUUGUAAACUUCUUUUGCUCUGAACAAGGCGCACCAUGGGGUGUGUUGAGUGUAGGGGUUGAUUAGCGCCGGCUAACUACGUGCCAGCAGCCGCGGUAAUACGUAGGGCGCGAGCGUUGUCCGGAAUUAUUGGGCGUAAAGGGCUUGUAGGUGGCUGGUUGCGUCUGUCGUGAAAGCUCAUGGCUUAACUGUGGGUUUGCGGUGGGUACGGGCUGGCUGGAGUGCAGUAGGGGAGGCUGGAAUUCCUGGUGUAGCGGUGGAAUGCGCAGAUAUCAGGAGGAAUACCGGUGGCGAAGGCGGGUCUCUGGGCUGUUACUGACACUGAGGAGCGAAAGCAUGGGGAGCGAACAGG